AUUGAACGCUGGCGGCAUGCCUUACACAUGCAAGUCGAACGGUAACGGGCCUUCGGGUGCCGACGAGUGGCGAACGGGGGAGUAAUGUAUCGGAACGUACCUUUCAGUGGGGGAUAACGUAGCGAAAGUUACGCGAAUACCGCAUAUUCUGUGAGCAGGAAAGCAGGGGAUCGCAAGACCUUGCGCUGAAUGAGCGGCAGAUAGCAGCUUAGCUAGUUGGUGAGGUAAAGGCUCACCAAGGCGACGAUCUGUAGCGGGUCUGAGAGGAUGAUCCGACACACUGGAACUGGGACACGGUCCAGACUCCUACGGGAGGCAGCAGUGGGGAAUUUUGGACAAUGGGGGCAACCCUGAUCCAGCCAUGCCGCGUGAGUGAAGAAGGCCUUCGGGUUGUAAAGCUCUUUCGGCCGGGAAGAAAUCGUAUGGGUUAAUACCCUGUGCGGAUGACGGUACCGGCAUAAGAAGCACCGGCUAACUACGUGCCAGCAGCCGCCGUAACAC
rnacentral:rRNA from 1 species